CCUACGGGUGGCAGCAGUGGGGAAUAUUGGGCAAUGUACGCAACUCUGACCCAGCAAUGCCGCGUGAAUGAAGAAGGCCCUCGGAUUGUAAAGUUCUUUAAUUGGGGACGAAAAAAAUGACGGUACCAAAGGAAUAAGCCACGGCUAACUACGUGCCAGCAGCCGCGGUAAUACGUAGGGGGCAAGCGUUGUUCGGAUUGAAUGGUUGUCAAGGGUGUGUAGUCGGUGUAGCAAGUUAGAAGUGAAAUACCUAGGGCUAAACUCAGGUGCUGCUUCUAAAACUGUUAUGCUUGAGUGCAGUUGAGGAAGGUGGAAUGCCUGGUGUAGCGGUGGAAUGCGUAGAUAUUAGGAGGAACAUCAGUGGCGAAGGCGACUUUCUGAACUGUAACUGACGCUGAGGCACGAAAGUGUGGGGAGCAAACAGGAGUAGAUACCCCAGUAGUC
rnacentral:rRNA from 1 species